rnacentral:rRNA from 1 species
UACGGAGGGUGCAAGCGUUAUCCGGAUUCACUGGGUUUAAAGGGUGCGUAGGCGGGUUGGUAAGUCCGUGGUGAAAUCCCCAAGCUUAGCUUGGGAACUGCCGUGGAUACUAUCAAUCUUGAAUAUCGUGGAGGUAAGCGGAAUAUGUCAUGUAGCGGUGAAAUGCUUAGAUAUGACAUAGAACACCAAUUGCGUAGGCAGCUUACUACACGAUCAUUGACGCUGAGGCACGAAAGCGUGGGGAUCAAACAGG